rnacentral:misc_RNA from 1 species
GUGGAGCGAAAAUUCGUCUCAUCGAGCGUUACCCUGUCCUUAUUAGUACUUUCGUUUCGACUUUAUCAACAUUUCUACACUUUUAUCUGCUUCAUACAAAUAAUCAUUGGCCGAUCAAGGGAUUGAAAGAAUAGGGGUUCACAUCACAAACGUCGUAGGCGAUUAAUAAUCGAUAAUUCGAACUGAUACGAAAUGGACGCCGCAGAUUAUUAAUGAUCGAGUCGUUGGUUUCUCAUGCAGAUUUGGUAAUGAUCGAGGUAUUGUAACAAAGUAGACGUAUGUAUACGAUUAUUUUCGCUUUUUUAAUUGCAUAAUUUGUUGAAAAUAUUAAAAUGAAAAAAAAAAGGAGAUUUAAAAAGUCACUUCGUCACAAUUAAUUGAUUAAUGUUUUUAUGUCAAUAUAUAGCAAAUUAUAUGAAUCAUUUAAUUGUUAUUAGAAAAUAAUCUAUUACGAAGUUAUUAUAUUUUAAUAUAUUUGUACGAGAAAAUCAGUUUAUCAUUGUCUGGAAGGAAUCUGCAUAAGACAUGUUCAGACACGUUUCGGUAAUCACUUGAGGCAUGUUUAGUUAAUUUAUUAUAAGCAUUGUCGAAUCUUUAUAAAGUGGAACAUAGUAUGUCAGUAAAAACCACGUUUCAAACUCUGAUAACGAACAUUCACAAUUGAAUUCUUUCUGAGGAAAGAAUUGAUUUUAUAUUUUAGAAUGUUAAUAAAUAUUUGAAAACAUAUUAGGAGAUAUCCUAUCCGGUCAAUGCAUAAGCCGUAUUUGAAAUAUUACGCGUAUAUUGCAUCUCCUUAAUAAUAUGCAUAUGUAAAAAAAAGAAAAAGAAAAAAAAAAAAAGAA